AGAGAUGUAGCUCAGUGACAGAGUACUUCUCUAGCAUAAAUGAGGCCCUGGGUUCAAUCCCCAGUAUUGUCA
rfam:Ictidomys tridecemlineatus contig014824, whole genome shotgun sequence.